rnacentral:lncRNA from 1 species
AGGGAAAGUCCGUAAUAAUUCAAGAUAUUUCGGACGAACUCCAGAAUCGAGAAGCGAAGACCUGCCCGAAGGUCCUCGACAUAAAAGGCCACCUGGCCCGGAGGCGGGUUGUUAACCUGACCCACAGCCCCAGGGCGAAAAGUUCGAACUACUCCGGGAUACCAUACUGCUCCCUAAGUCGUUCGACAUUCGACCCCAAAAGUAAGAAGCCUCCACCUCUGGGGUCGAUCGAGAAUCAUCGAUCGGAUUCCCCGACUGACUUCCUCGAGAAGAGGUUCUAGCCAUAACACUAGCCCCAAGAAAAGAGAACAAAAAGGAAAAUGCCAAGGGAGUAAGGAUGCAAGGAGACAAGAAUGAAAAAACUUCGAGAAGAGCUUUCAAAGAAGGAGGACGGAAACAGCUACCUAGAACUGGGAGACAACUCGACAGGGCCUCAGCGCC